ACACAUGCAAGUCGAGGGGCAGCGCGAGGUAGCAAUACUUUGGCGGCGACCGGCGCACGGGUGCGUAACACGUAUGUAACUUACCUCUUACAAUCGGAUAACACGGUGAAAGUCGUGCUAAUACGGUAUAGUUUCGCAAGCUCGCAUGGGCAUGCGAAUAAAGAUUCAUCGGUAAGAGAUAGACAUGCGGUCCAUUAGAUAGUUGGUGAGGUAACGGCUCACCAAGUCGACGAUGGAUAGGGGGACUGAGAGGUUGACCCCCCACACUGGUACUGAGACACGGACCAGACUCCUACGGGAGGCAGCAGUGAGGAAUAUUGGUCAAUGGGCGAGAGCCUGAACCAGCCAAGUCGCGUGAAGGAAGACGGUUCAUAAGGAUUGUAAACUUCUUUUGCAGAGGAGUAACGGUAGGCACGUGUGCCUAUGUGAACGUACUCUGCGAAUAAGUAUCGGCUAACUCCGUGCCAGCAGCCGCGGUAAUACGGAGGAUACGAGCGUUAUCCGGAAUUAUUGGGUUUAAAGGGUGCGUAGGUGGCUAUUUAAGUCAGGGGUGAAAAGCAUGAGCUCAACUCAUGUCUUGCCUUUGAAACUGGACAGCUAGAGAAAAGACGAGGUAUGUGGAAUGUGUGGUGUAGCGGUGAAAUGCAUAGAUAUCACACAGAACUCCGAUUGCGCAGGCAGCGUACCAGACUUCUUCUGACACUGAAGCACGAAAGCGUGGGGAUCAAACAGGAUUAGAUACCCUGGUAGUCCACGCAGUAAACGAUGAAUACUAGUUUUUUGCGAUAUACAGUAAGAGACUAAGCGAAAGCGAUAAGUAUUCCACCUGGGGAGUACGCCGGCAACGGUGAAACUCAAAGGAAUUGACGGGGGCCCGCACAAGCGGAGGGACAUGUGGUUUAAUU
rnacentral:rRNA from 1 species